GAUGAACGCUGGCGGCGUGCCUAAUACAUGCAAGUAGAACGCUGAAGCUUGGUGCUUGCACCGAGCGGAUGAGUUGCGAACGGGUGAGUAACGCGUAGGUAACCUGCCUGGUAGCGGGGGAUAACUAUUGGAAACGAUAGCUAAGACCGCAUGACAACAGUUAUUGCAUGAUAACUGUUUAAAAGGGGCAAUUGCUCCACUACCAGAUGGACCUGCGUUGUAUUAGCUAGUUGGUGAGGUAACGGCUCACCAAGGCGACGAUACAUAGCCGACCUGAGAGGGUGAUCGGCCACACUGGGACUGAGACACGGCCCAGACUCCUACGGGAGGCAGCAGUAGGGAAUCUUCGGCAAUGGACGGAAGUCUGACCGAGCAACGCCGCGUGAGUGAAGAAGGUUUUCGGAUCGUAAAGCUCUGUUGUAAGAGAAGAACGAGUGUGAGAGUGGAAAGUUCACACUG
rnacentral:rRNA from 1 species